AUUUGUGCGAUAUAAUCGAUUAUGACAGUAAAGUUUAAUGACGGUGGUGAUUCCUUGAAAAAAGGUGGUGCUUAUGAACAUACGCACAGAAUCUUAUGAAAGGAGAAGCCUUUUGUCCGCAUACGAAACGAUUCAGACCAUCCUCGGCUUUGGUAUGUUUACCGUUGCUUUGAUCAGUCUGAC
rnacentral:sRNA from 1 species